rnacentral:piRNA from 2 species
UGCAAGUUUGGCUUUGGGAAGUGCUUUGA